CUGAAUUCAGCGGCGGACGGGUGAGUAAUGCCUAGGAAUCUGCCUGGUAGUGGGGGACAACGUUUCGAAAGGAACGCUAAUACCGCAUACGUCCUACGGGAGAAAGCAGGGGACCUUCGGGCCUUGCGCUAUCAGAUGAGCCUAGGUCGGAUUAGCUAGUUGGUGAGGUAAUGGCUCACCAAGGCGACGAUCCGUAACUGGUCUGAGAGGAUGAUCAGUCACACUGGAACUGAGACACGGUCCAGACUCCUACGGGAGGCAGCAGUGGGGAAUAUUGGACAAUGGGCGAAAGCCUGAUCCAGCCAUGCCGCGUGUGUGAAGAAGGCCUUUUGGUUGUAAAGCACUUUAAGCGAGGAGGAGGCUACUAGUAUUAAUACUACUGGAUAGUGGACGUUACUCGCAGAAUAAGCACCGGCUAACUCUGUGCCAGCAGCCGCGGUAAUACAGAGGGUGCGAGCGUUAAUCGGAUUUACUGGGCGUAAAGCGCGCGUAGGUGGCCAAUUAAGUCAAAUGUGAAAUCCCCGAGCUUAACUUGGGA
rnacentral:rRNA from 1 species